UGGGGAAUAUUGCACAAUGGGCGCAAGCCUGAUGCAGCCAUGCCGCGUGUGUGAAGAAGGCCUUCGGGUUGUAAAGCACUUUCAGCGAGGAGGAAGGUGGUGGACUUAAUACGUUCAUCAAUUGACGUUACUCGCAGAAGAAGCACCGGCUAACUCCGUGCCAGCAGCCGCGGUAAUACGGAGGGUGCAAGCGUUAAUCGGAAUUACUGGGCGUAAAAGCGCACGCAGGCGGUUUGUUAAGUCAGAUGUGAAAUCCCCGGGCUCAACCUGGGAACUGCAUUUGAAACUGGCAAGCUAGAGUCUCGUAGAGGGGGGUAGAAUUCCAGGUGUAGCGGUGAAAUGCGUAGAGAUCUGGAGGAAUACCGGUGGCGAAGGCGGCCCCCUGGACGAAGACUGACGCUCAGGUGCGAAAGCGUGGGGAGCAAAACAGGAUUAGAUACCCUGGUAGUCCACGCUGUAAAACGAUGUCGAUUUUGGAGGUUGUGCCCUUGAGGCGUGGCUUCCGGAGCUAACGCGUUAAAUCGACCGCCUGGGGAGUACGGCCNCAAGGUUAAAACUC
rnacentral:rRNA from 1 species